AUACGGAGGGUGCAAGCGUUACUCGGAAUCACUGGGCGUAAAGCGCGCGCAGGCGGCUAUUUAAGUUGGAUGUGAAAGCCUACGGCUCAACCGUAGAACUGCAUCCAAAACUAUUUAGCUAGAGUGUGGGAGAGGAAGAUGGAAUUAUUUGUGUAGGGGUAAAAUCCGUAGAGAUAACUAGGAAUACCAAAAGCGAAGGCAAUCUUCUGGAACACUACUGACGCUGAGGCGUGAAAGCGUGGGGAGCAAACAGGAUUAGAAACCCUAGUAGUCC
rnacentral:rRNA from 1 species